GUUUCCCACAUUCGUUCCUUUUCUUCAUACUCUUUUACUGAUUUUGAAGACCAUCUUGGGUAACGAAAAUAUUAAUUGGUUUUUCAAGCAAAUUCAUUCUCUAGUUUUGGCUAAGGAGUUGGAUUCCAUCAAGAAUAAUCCUCGCAUGUUCUUACAAAAGUUGGUGCUUUGAUUCUCAAUGGAUUAUGUUACUAUUUGGUUCAAGAGUCUGGAGCUAGCUUGAUGUGGUAAGCCGGGAAGAUCUUACGACGUGGAUCUAAGGACAUAACAUGGUAUAUGUUGUUGUUCUUGUGUAUAUAUAUCAUGGGCUGUUCAUGGGGUGUUUGGGCAUAAAUACUAAGUUACCUUGAUUAUAUUUUACCAAAUACAAAUGGUUUAGAUUUGCAUAGUUGAAUGUCAAAUGGUUUAGAUCUGCAUAGUUGAAUGAUAGUUUUGUAAAACUUUCUGGACUAUCUCAGAUGUUAAAUUUCUUGUGUAUCAAUUCUCAUUCA